UUUCUCUCUCUCUCUCUCUCUCUUCUAAACCUAUGUUUUUUUCUCUCUCUAUCUCCUUCUCCAUUGCUCCUCCACCAUUGGAUGUCUGAGCUUGAGCGCCAGGAAGAGGUUGCUUUGGCUGUCAAGGUGUUUAAAGUGAUACGGAAGCAAUAUUGGUACAGGCCUGAUGCUUAUCUGUAUAAGGACUAGAUUAUUGCAUUAGCAAAGUGUCAAAAAAUGGAUGACGCAAUGCAGUUGUGGGAAGACAUUAGAUAGGAGAAUUUGUUCCCUGAUUGUCAAACAUACACGGAAAUGAUAAGGGGGUUCUUGAGGCAAGGAUCUCCUGCAGAUGCAAUGAACAUAUAUGAAGACAUGAUGAAGUCUCCAAAGCCCCUUGAGGAACUUGUGGUGUGCGAAUUGCACAAGGUCUUGUACAUACGGGGAAAGGCUUUUUGCUCCUGGUAUUGGAGUGUAUCAAGACCGAGACUCAGGCAGAGAGGCAGAAUGCCAGAACAGUGCAUUGGAAGAGUUCAAGCCAAGACUGCCUAAACGACAGUGCAAACAUUGUUGUAAGAAGUGUAGUAAACAGAGCAGACAAUGCAGUAACUUAAAGUAGCUAUACUACCUGUAGUUUUAGGAUUAGUUUUUAAUUGUUAGCUGUGAUUUAUAUACACGUGUAAUGAUCUGAUUAUUUGUAAAGACUAGUUCCACAUUAAUUCACUUUUGAACUAGUCUACAGUCGCUCAAA